GCCAGAAGACUCUGUCCUCUAGGCGUUCGGCAGCAGGCUCACACUCGAGCGGUGGAAGUCCUCUAUUUCUACAGGACAAACAAGGCCAUUGCAUGCUGGAGUUGCCUGGGCCCAGCCUGCCUGCC